GGACAGAAAAAGGAGUGUAGUGUAGAAAUGGGUAGCUUAGAGUUCAAUCUCCUUUUUUUUCCCUUUAAAUAACUUUUUGGUAAGUAGAAACUUUGGAAGUUGCCUCACAGCUUGCAUCACGAUCUGACUGCUGCUCGUUUCUCUCAUCUGAUCGAAGGUUUGCUCUACGGUUUCCAAGCAUCUCCAUGGAUUACAGUGAAGAAGACGAGAUGAAUUUGUACUUGAAGGUCAUCAAAACAGUUGCCUUAAAUGUGAAGAGAUCAGAGACAACUAGAACACUGAAGGCAUUGUUUCAUGAGAAGGAAGGCACUCCAGAAAAUCUUCAGGAGCUCUUUUUCAUGGGUAAGCAGCUCAAGGAUGACCACAAGCUGGUUGACUAUGGUAUUCAGAUGAACUCCACUCUCCAUCUUUUCCUCCAAACUAUAGAUAGGAUAACGCUUCUCGUCAACAUACCAUCAAAUGAGAAAACAUUUGGACUUGAAGCAAAGAAUCAUGAAACUGUCGAGAACAUUAAACUCUUGAUUCUGGCCAAAGAGGGCAUCCUACCAGAACAAUACACUCUUUUCCACCUUGGAAAGCUGCUGGAAGAUAACAAAACUUUGACUUCUCUCAAUAUCAAGUCGGGAUCGACCCUUUAUGUGGUUUUCAACCCAAGAGAUGUGAUGUCAGUUUCUGUGAAAAUGCCUAGCGGAGAGAUCCUGAAACUUGAAGUCAAGGUCUUGCACACGAUUCAUGAUGUCAAGGCAAUAAUUCAGAGUAUGGUUGGUUUCUCAGUCAGCAUGCAGAAGCUAACUUAUGCAGGAAAUCUAGUUGAGGACUCAAAGACUUUAGCUUGUUAUAACAUCGAGGAGAACUCCCUCUUAGAGAUGUUGCCUCUUCCCUUUCAGAUUUUUGUGAAGGACUGGGGUGGCAAGACAACAGUUCUUAAUGUGUUCAAAGAGGACAGGGUUGUAGAUGUGAAGAAAAAGUUUCUUAAUAAGCUAGGCUUGCCAGUGACAGUUCACCCCUUUUAUCUUGUGUUCGCUGGACGACUUGAGGAUGACCGAGAUUUAGCUAGCUACAAUAUUCAGAAAGAUUCCACUCUCCAUGCAUCUUUUCGAGCCCGAGUUCUCUCCGCAGAUCAAAUCCUUCCUUAGGCUCGUGAGUAUUUGGAAUGUUUGUACUUUUCUGAUGGGCCAUUGGCGAGCACAGCAUUUCUUGGGCUGAUUUUGUUAUCAAGAAGGAGACAGUGGUAGUAGCUUGGAAGAGCUUCCAUCAUGCUUCAGUAUUUCUGGGAUGGAGAUGGAGCAUGACUUAUUUUGUUCAGUGGGUACAGUACAAGUAACCCUGCUUAAUUGUAUAGUGCACUAAUUAUGUUGAACUAAUGAACCUUGCACUUAGGAUGGCACUCUGUAUUUAUGCUGCACUAUGUGUAGUCCUACUUAUUUUGUAUCUUUCUUCCAGUUCAGAGGAAAAGAAGAAAGAAAAAACAUAUGCAAAUAUAGCCUACUGUAUCCUUUGGAAUGAUCUGUCUCUGAUUUUCAGUUUCUGUGUGAUUCUCUCUCUCUCUCUCUCUCUCUCUCUCUCUCUCUCUCUCCUGGAGCUCUAUUCAGGGGGGUAUGAACUAUGAGGUGAUUCAGAUGACUCCUUCCAUUUGUCAAAUAAGUUUGGCUUUGAUCAUGGGUUUAUAGAGAAAUUUAUCAAAGGAAAACCAAAUUGCAGGAAAUUUCAAAGAAAUUUAACCUUCCCAAGUUUAUCUUUCCUUUUUUCGCCCAUAAU